rnacentral:sRNA from 1 species
UGUGUCAACGGACAGACACGCCCUUCAAGGAUGAGGGGAAAGGACAUCGCAGGACGCGAUUCAUCAGGACGAUGAAAAGGAAUACAGGGACUAGGGAAAAAAAUGUGGGCGGGUCAAACCGCCCCUUUUUUU